rnacentral:lncRNA from 1 species
AUUUUUUGCUGACUUAGCUCUGUGGGUCUGCUCACCGUGUGGUCAGCUGGGACCAGAGCUGGUGUGACGGAAGAGAAACAGGCAUGCAGCCAGGAGCUUUGGUUUGGAGCGGGGCUGCUGUUAUGGUCCCACAACCUGUCAGUUCGACUGUAAGGUGAAACCUCUCCCUGGCCUUAAUGGAGCCAAUAGUAAAUUGUGCAGCAGUAUGAAGCGAGGAGGCAGAAUUUAACUUUUGAAAAUAAAAAGAUGCAUGUUUGAGAAAAUUUACAGUAUUUGCUAUUAGGCACUGAAGAAAUAUAAACUCCUGUAGUUCUGAUUUUUUUUCCAGAAGCAUGGUUCACUGAGUCAUCUUGGAGUCAAAUGUUUUUUGUAGAAGAAAGAGUACUGUUCACUAUUGCUGGGGCAGCUUUAGUGAGGUCUUUCUUCCAUUAAAUGAUAUAACUGUUUGGAAAAAAAAUAGAUAUAGGGAGCUGUUAAAUAUUAUUAAAAUUUAGAAAGAAAAAUCACAGAUCUUGCAGGAUUUUCUUUAUCUUAUCAAUUCUAGUGCAGUAAGAGAGAAGUCUCAGUAUUCUGCAUUUGCAUGUGAAGAGUAAUCAUUGCUCACAGCACGAAGGAACUGUUAUUGUACAUAGUCUCUACAGACGUAUGGCUUCCAUCUGUGGAUACUGAAUGCUGCUAUCCUGCAGUGUUUUGGAGAACUCUUGCCAAGAUAGGAACUCAGGUUCAGAUGCCUCUUGAAAACUAUGACAUCUACCACAAAACAAGGCAGCAUGACAUAUCACAGCAAGGGAAUGAAGUAUAUUGCAAGAUCAGACCUGACUUGUAAUAACCUGAGCAAAGGAGCAGUGAUUUUACGGAUUUGGAGGCAUAAUCUUUUUUUAGAUGGCAUUCCUGAGUGUGGAAACUCCCUUGUUUGGAGGCAAGCUUUCUCAGUUGAUGAGUUCUAUCCAAAUAGGAAUUGUAACCAGUAUAAGCCUCUAUAAUUUUGCAAAGGCUGCAAAGGACAUAAAAGAUCUGUUCUACUUUGAUUUCUCAGAGAAUGUCAAGUGGAGCUGAGCCACAGGUACUGUUACUCAAGGGUACAUAGACUUCCAACCCUCUUUGAUUCCAAUGGGAGAGAAGAAACAAAAUACUGUAGAAGAUCUAACUCCAGCCUAAUCCCCAAAAAUCCAGGAUUUCUGAGUGAACUUCAUCAGGGUUAGAUGUAUAAGAGUCCUUCAAAAUUCCUGUAGAGUUAAUGGAGAUACACUGGUCCCACUGGAAGGAUUUCAUCCUAACUCUACAAUUACUGUUUUGGAUAGGAUGAAAGAUUUCACUUCUGGAAGGCCUCCAUUCUCUGCAGCAUGAGCUUGGACAAAUAGCUUGGACAAUCAUCUAGCACUGCCAUGGAGGUCUGUCUCAGGUUGAGCUAUAUCCUACUGUAAAAAAGUAAGGAAAAAAAAAAAAAACAAUAACCAAUGACCUAUAGUAGUAUAAAAGAAUUAUCAAGUUAUGAUUUAUUGUUGCAGAUUACAGAAAUUUUCCAAAUAUGGUCAGAAAAUUUGGAAUGAGAGAAAAUAAGAAAACAUCUCUAUCACUUCACCUCUUGUUCUGAAUGCAAGUAAUGUUUCUCCACCUCCUGUAACUGAAAAAAGCCAGACAUAUACAAGUAAGAAAUACAUAUACACUUACAUGUACAGAUACAUUUAUGUAUGUACAUAUAUAUGUAUCUUCCAAUAAAGCAUUAAAUUUCAGUGAACACUUUUUAUUCAAUGACUGGAUAAUUUGUAGACAUUAAGUAAUACAUGUUAACUGAAAGACUCAGAGAACAGAGCAGAAAUAUAUCUUUUAAGUUCAGGGGAAUCUCAUCUCGUUUCAGGUUUCAAAUCUGUGAUUCAGAGUGCAUUUAUAGGAAAGGACUAUAAUGAUCAAAGUUUGUGUACUACAUGAUGAUUUGCAGAUCUCUAACAAAAUCAGGCUAAUAUAGAUUUUAGAUGGAAUUCUGCUUUGAGAAUUUGAAGUGAAACUUGAGGAUCAGCUGUAUAAUGUGUUGCAAUGUUCAGUCAAGUGAUGAGGUUUUAAAUAGCAGUCACUGACAGCCAAAGGAAUUCCAUCUUGAGGAGGACAAUUUUAUUCAUUUGUGGCUAUUGACAAUAGUUACAUUCCUGUAAUAAUUAGAAAUAGUACCUAGAGUCAUAAAAGGUCAGAAAUGUUCAUAGGAUACUGCAUGUGCUCUACUUCUAUGAACUAUGCCUAUAAAUCUAUUAUUAUUUAUGUUGCAUUGAAUAAGGGUAAUAUGACUUUUAAUUUUGUUUUAAUGAGUAAUAAACAUUGUUUGUAAAUAGUCACAAAUCUUUAUUUAAAGAGUGAUAUUUAUUAAGCUCUUUAGCAAUUUCAUUUAUGAAAUGUAUUUCUGCAGCUGAUGAAUUUGAUUGAAAACAAGAAACCUUUGAAAAAGUAUGACACCAGAACCAAAGAAAACAAUGAAAUUCACUCUUGGCAUGAAUGAGUAACCCAUUCCUUCCUUCCUCUCAGCUGAAGAAUGGGUUUUAGUAACUGAAACUGGAGAGUCUUAUUUCAGCCUAAACAACCCUGAUCUGCAGGCCUCAAAGCAAAAGAAGACUAUAUGCCAGGUGUAACUUUGGUAUUUUCUUAUAUAAUAAAGGUAAAACUAAUGGUCUAAUGAGCAGGAAUAAAACUCAUGUCCACCAGUGUCAUAUAUGCAGAUGACAAUAUGAUCUGUAUGCUCCUGCAUUCAUUCAUG